GGACUAUGUGCCGGCACUGAAAGGUCUGGGUGAAUGCUUGUUAGCCUUGGCUAAAAGUGCUCUGGAUGACUAUCUUGAUGGAAGAGCUGUAGAUCUGAUACAGAAUGCCAUCCAUUACCUCUUCAGUGCUGUAAAGCAAAGGCCAGACCUGUCAUGUCUGUGGAAGAUACUAGGUGAUGUCUGCACAACCUGCAAAACUGUGUCCACUAACCGAGCCAAAGUGCUGGUACCUGGAGCUCUAUGUGGGAUGGAUCCAG